rfam:Echinostoma caproni strain Egypt genome assembly, scaffold: ECPE_scaffold0001277
GGCCUCGUAGCUCAGCUGGUAGAGCAUGCGCGUACAAAGCGUAGACGGCAUCCAAGCGUGCGUUCGAAUCCCAUCGGGGCUA